UACGGAAGGCAGCAGUGGGGAAUAUUGGACAAUGGGCGAAAGCCUGAUCCAGCCAUGCCGCAUGAGUGAAGAAGGCCUUCGGGUUGUAAAGCUCUUUUAGUGAGAAAGAUAAUGACGGUACUCACAGAAGAGGUCCUGGCUAACUCCGUGCCAGCAGCCGCGGUAAUACGGAGAGGGCUAGCGUUAUUCGGAAUUAUUGGGCGUAAAGAGCGCGUAGGCUGAUUAGUAAGUUAAAAGUGAAAUCCCAAAGCUUAACUUUGGAAUUGCUUUUUAAAACUGCUAGUCUAGAGAUUGAAAGAGGAUAGAGGAAUUCCUAGUGUAGAGGUGAAAUUCGUAAAUAUUAGGAGGAACACCAGUGGCGAAGGCGUCUAUCUGGUUCAAAUCUGACGCUGAGGCGCGAAGGGCGUGGGGAGCAAACAGGGAUUAGAUACC
rnacentral:rRNA from 1 species